rnacentral:rRNA from 1 species
UACGGGGGGGAGCAAGCGUUGUUCGGAUUUACUGGGCGUAAAGGGCGCGUAGGCGGUCAGCACAAGUCAGUUGUGAAAAUCUCCGGGCUUAACUCGGAAAGGUCAACUGAUACUGUGCGACUAGAGUGCGGAAGGGGCAACUGGAAUUCUCGGUGUAGCGGUGAAAUGCGUAGAUAUCGAGAGGAACACCUGCGGCGAAGGCGGGUUGCUGGGCCGACACUGACGCUGAUGCGCGAAAGCCAGGGGAGCGAACGGG